rnacentral:rRNA from 1 species
CGCGUAGGCGGAAUAAUAAGUCAGUGGUGAAAUCCUGUGGCUCAACCACAGAACUGCCAUUGAUACUGUUAUUCUUGAAUAUAGUUGAGGUAGGCGGAAUGUGUAAUGUAGCGGUGAAAUGCUUAGAUAUUACACAGAACACCGAUUGCGAAGGCAGCUUGCUAAACCAUUAUUGACGCUGAGGCACGAAAGCGUGGGGAGCGAACAGGAUUAGAUACCCUGGUAGUCC